rnacentral:tRNA from 1 species
GCGGGCGUGGCGGAAUUGGCAGACGCGCCGGGUUUAGGUCCCGGUCCCGCAGAGGGGUGGGAGUUCGAAUCUCCCCGCCCGCA